GUUUAUAUUAAUAUACUGAAUAGAAAAAAGCUGGAGAAAUGGAUAAAUGGUCUUCAAAGAAAGAUGAAGAUGCCAUAAAAAUGGUCCUGUUCCCAACAGUUGUCACUGUGGACUCGGGCUGCAGGGAGCCCCGGACGCCCACCCCAGGUUCCGGCCUUACCCUCAGGCUGAAGCAGCAUGCCCAGCAGGGAGCAGCAGGAUGGGAUCUCCUUGCUGGCGUGCCUGCAUCCAGCUGUUUACUGCGCGUUAAUCCUGAAUCUGGGGGGCCAUCUGUUUGAAAGAUGCUAUUCCAAGGUGGCCCCCUUGUGUGGAGGCCCAGGGAUGAUGACUCAAGGCUUUGGUUCGGGCAGAUCUGAAGGACCUAUCGGUUAUUUUGUCUACACAGAGGGAAGGUUACAAUAAGCUGAUGUCAUUGUGACGGCCAUUGGUCUGUUCCCAUCCGAAAGAAUUCAUUUUCAGCAGUGGGGGGUAUCUGUUAGUUCUUUGUUUAUCUUGCAGCUGAAUUCUCAGCCAGGUCCAUGGAAUUUU
rnacentral:lncRNA from 1 species